AAGUCAUUGCCACGCUGAGCACAUUUCUGUCUCACCAUGUAACUCAAGAAAUAAUGCAAUUGCAUCUAGUGGACUUCACCCAAACUGUGCCCUGGGUUGCCCUGGGGAGCUGGUUCUGCUGCUUCAGGCUAACUCACUUAUUGUGGCAGGAGGCUGCUGAUAUGGUCAGUUCCCAGGGAUCAGCCGCUGGAGGUGGAGGUUAGGGUGGGGGGGCGGUGGGAGGGUGUUGGAAAGGGCACCUGUCAAACGUGGAUUCAUAAAUGGGCUGCAGAGAGACUAGAAAGACUCUGAAGCUGAAUGCACGAGUUUGUACGUGCAUUUUUACUGGGGAUGAGGAUCAGUUUUUUUGUCUGAUUCUCAAAGAAGUCAGAGACCCUCAAAAUGGUUACUCGUUUUGGGUGGUAGGUAAAACAAGAAAAUGAAAUGUUUCUCUUUUCAUUUUUGCUCCCCAGUGAGUUUGAGUUUUAUGCAAUUUCUUGUAUAAGAGGAGAGCCUAAGUCCAUGGAAGCUGGGAUUGAACAUCCUGAAUAUGCAGUUCCUUGGAGAGCCACCAAGAAAAGACCUAAGCAGGAGACAUGAUGUCACCUUCGGGGAGGAGGCUCUUCAGCUGUCUGGCAUGGGAGGAGGAGGAAUGAGGAGGAUCACUGGCCUUGAACCCCCAAGGAGAGGCCAGAGCACCUUUCUGGGACUCAGCCCAGGGAUUAGGAGUCAGACAAGGAAGAAGAGGACAUGAUAGGAAACUGGGAGGUGAGUAUCAGAAAUGAGGUUGAGUCAGUGAGAAGAUGAGGCCACACAGGGAUGCCCGGUGCUCAGGGCCCAGGAGAACCUACUCAGAGUCAUCGUGCAUUGUGCAGAAAGACGCCUGGCUGAGGGAGUAAGUGGGGGUCAAAAUCCCACCUAACUCCUACUCUCCAAACAAGUUUUGCUUCUGCUGGCAUCAUCCUGCACAGGCCAGGCAGGCAAUAGGUGAGGCAUACUGCGGGUCACUAGGUCCUAGGGGAUCAGAGCAGGUCAUCCUCCAGGAUAGGCAGAAGUGGAUCAAGGAAGCCCUGCAGCUCAAAGAGUCCAGCAG
rnacentral:lncRNA from 1 species